UACGGAGGAUCCAAGCGUUAUCCGGAUUCAUUGGGUUUAAAGGGCGCGUAGGCGGCCUGCUAAGUCGAACGUGAAAUCCCUGGGCUCAACCCAGGAACUGCGUCCGAUACUGGUUGGCUUGAAUCCGGGAGAGGGAUGUGGAAUUCCAGGUGUAGCGGUGAAAUGCGUAGAUAUCUGGAGGAACACCGGUGGCGAAGGCGACAUCCUGGACCGGCAUUGACGCUGAGGCGCGAAAGCCAGGGGAGCAAACGGG
rnacentral:rRNA from 1 species